CUUGUGUUCUAGAACCAGAGCUGUAUUUAUUUCCACCGUGAGAGAGAAACAGAAGAUGGCUUCCAGUCGAUUACCCAGGAGGCUUAUCCCUUUGCUAAGGAGAAAGAAAACACCACCAUCAGAAGAUCUGAACAGCUGUUUGGAAAAUCAAGAACAAACAAGUUUUGUGGUCAGCAGUCCACAAAAUUUCAACCCUCGUACCAAUAAUUCAGACAGUGGUACUCUCGAGAACAAAAGAUAUCCCGAAAAAGGUGAAAAGAUACCAGGUACAAGUGAAACAGGUGCUGAAGUACCUCAGAGUGUCAGUAAGGGGAGCCAUUGUAGCACAUACAGAUUGUAUGAGAAAUGUAAAAAUGUUUUGCAAGACAAACUAGAGGCUAUGAGGAGGAAAAAAGCUGCCAACAAAGCUCUAUUGAAGGAAAAGCAACACGAAGAAAUGGAAGAGCAGGAGUUUUGCCCAAAAGUUACUUUUGUACAAGACGUACAAGACAGACAGGAGAGGGAAAAGAGAGCUGUAAUACAAAAAUCUAAUGCAUGGGAUGCCCAAAUUGAAAGUAAAAAACAGAAGAAGAGGGGAAUGAAGGAAACAAAAAUACAGGAAGCAAAAACACGGUGUCCAAUUAAGAGACAAAGACCUCUUAACUUGUCCACAGUUAAAUCCAAGGAGGUCUCAGGAAAAAACAAAUAUGAUAAACAGUUUAAAAGGCCUUUGUCAUGUAAAAAAGAAGAGAAACUCGUCAUACAGGUUGCUCAAAAUGCAGAGGACCAAGUCGUAAUGCAAUGGCAAAAAUAUAAGAGUGUUAGUGAAGGCAUUCAGUCAGAAUAUGUACAUCAUGAGAGGGAGAAAAAGUUUUCUGAAACUGAAAAUCUUCUUACAUUUCAAGAGAAAUGUAAGAAGAUGGCCUUUGACAAUCUGGAGGACAUAAAGAGAAAAGAAGUUGCCAAAGACGCUUUAGAGGAGGAGAAGUUUUAUAAAGAAAUGGCCAAGCGGGAAUUUGCCCAAAAGUUACUUGACAAACAGAAGAAGGAAAAGAAAGUUGAAAUGCAAAAGUCUUUGACUAAUGCGUGGGAUAGUCAAGUUGAAUAUAAAAGGCAGAAGAAGAUGGAAAUGGACCAGAUUGAAAGGCAACAAAUGGCUGCCAUAAUGGAAGCAGACAGGUUGUGUCCAAUUGAGGAAAUUGGACACAACCAGGAGAAAGACCAGAAAUUCUUCAAACAGGGUGUAACUGAGCAAAAUACCGACAACCAAGUCACAAUGCAGUGGGAGAUGUAUCAGAGUGUUACUGAGCCAAAGGAAGAUGUUCAAUCUGAAUCUGAGUGUAUAAAUCACAUGAGUCAGAUGAGGCUUCCUGAAAAGUUUAGUUCUCUAGAGGAUUGUAAGAAGGUUGUACAUGACAAUCUGGAGGAUCUAAAAAGGAAAGAAGCUGCCAACUACUUUCUUUUGGAGGAAAAGCGAUGUAAAGAUAGGGCUCACCAGCAGGUAAGCCAAAAGUUACGAGAGGAACAAGAGAGGGAAAAGAAAGUCAAUUUGAAAAAGUCUUUGACUGACACAUGGGAUGCCCAAAUUCAAUGUAAACAACAGGAGAAGAAGGAAAUAGCUGAAAUUGAAAAGAAACAAAUGGCUGCCAUAAUGGAGUCAGAUAGACUGCAUCAAAUUGAUGCAUCAUUCAUAUAUCAAUAUAACCAGCAAAAGAAGAGGGAAAUGGAUAGGCCUGAAAGGCAAGGGGUGUUUCCCGGAUCAGACAAGUUACAGGACGAGACUAACAAGAAUAUGGACAACCCAGACGUAAUGCAGUGGGAAAUGUAUCACAGUGUUACUGAGGAAGGAAGAGAUCUUUGGUAUGAAUCAGGCUUUCUGGACUUUGAGAGUGACUGCGACAUUCCUGAUAAGGACAGAAGUCGUGAAAUACGUAAAAAAAUUGUAUAUGAUCAACUGUCACUUAUAAAGAAGAAAGAAGCUACCCAGAGGGCUUUUAUGGAGGAUAAGUUGUUGAAAGAAAUGAAACAGCGGAAAUUUGUAGAGCAAAUGCGUGAAAAACUGGAGAAAGAGAAAAAAGCUGCAGGUAUCAAAUCUCUGACUGAUUCUUGGGAUUCCCAGAUAAAACGUAAACAGCAAGAGAAAAGGGAACUUCGUGAGAUUGAAAGGAAAGAGAUGCUUUCCUUAAUUGAAUUGGAAAGAGUCUGUGAAAGUCAAAAGAAUAAAAGAACCCAGCUUCACAAACACAAAACGGCUGUUUAUCACAAAGUUCAGGAGACUCUAGCAGAAACAAGACCAGGGAGAAGUUGCUCCAAGUCAUACGUGGGAAGAACAGUGUAUUUUGCUGACAAACAUGAUGGCAAAAAAAACAGCAAUGUUUGUAGUCCUUUACUGAGUCGUCAGAAAGUUAGAAAUACUAAGCCUGUCAGACUUCCCUCAUUAAACUCCAACUCUGUGCACCUUCCUGAGAUUGUUGAAUGAGUGUGACAUUAAUGCAGAUCUGAAGAGAAGACAACUCCCAUCCAUUCACAGUCCCAAAUGAAUUACUAUGUUUCUCAGCUGGCCAAGGAAUGACAUAGGAUUCCUCCGGAGUAGCUAGCCCAAGUGGCUGAGCAGAGGGACGUUUGGGUCUUCCAACUUGACGCCCCGCAACCCUAUAAGCAGAAGAAAAUGCAUGGACGGACAGACAGACUUUUCACUACCUUUCUCCCUCCCAACACCCAUCUGUGGUUUGUUGCACCAUUACUGCGCUGCAGUCCUGGACCCACCCUGCAGCAUCCUGCAAUGUAAUUUCAAGGCUCUCACACUCCUCCACGGGAUUAAAAUAAUAAUAAAUAAAUAAUUAACUGCUGGACGAACAAAACAUCCAAGGUCACCCCAACGGCCGGUACAGCCUGCUCACGAUUCGCUCUGCUACAUUUACCCUCACUACCAGGUAGGU